AUAGCACCCAACACACACUGGGUCUACACCAACGUGGCCAGACUGAAAAAAGAGGGGAUAGAUGAGGCUCAGGGUCAGUGAUGGAUAAUUUACUGAAGUCAUAGGAAGACAAAUGUAAUAAGGUAGAAAUAAAGUCAGACCCUCUGUCAGUCUCCAUCCAGGAGGGCUUGAAAGGGCCCAGCAGCUGCCCAGUGACAACUGUCAUCGCUCACCCAGUGAUCUGUUAAUCAGGGCAGGUAGCAACAUCCCUGUUCCUACCCACUAGAUGUCAGUAGCAACCUCCAAUCCUUCCAGUUGUGACAACAGAAAUGCCAGGAGAUGUCAAAUAUUCCCCACAGGACAGCAGUGCCCCACUGAGAUCCACGG
rnacentral:lncRNA from 1 species